rnacentral:rRNA from 1 species
UACGGGGGGGGGGCAAGCGUUGUUCGGAAUUACUGGGCGUAAAGGGCUCGUAGGCGGCCAACUAAGUCAGACGUGAAAUCCCUCGGCUUAACCGGGGAACUGCAUCUGAUACUGGAUGGCUUGAGAUUGGGAGAGGGAUGCGGAAUUCCAGGUGUAGCGGUGAAAAUGCGUAGAUAUCUGGAGGAACACCGGUGGCGAAGGCGGCAUCCUGGACCGGCAUUGACGCUGAUGAGCGAAAGCCAGGGGAGCAAACGGG